rnacentral:misc_RNA from 1 species
AACGCACAUUGCGCUCCCCGGUACUCCGGUGAGCAUGCCCGUUUCAGAAUCAGUAACAAUUCUCGCCAAACUCGUGCGGUUCCGGGGGGGAUGCCGAGCGAGGCGGACUUUGGAUGCGCUGUUUCUUCCGGUCUUUUCCGGAGGAGACUCGUCCCAAACGCAUGGGAACUGCGGUGGCCCCGUUUCCUUCUCUGGAGACGGACCCUGCAAAGAUGCAACAAAAACCUCUCUCUGGUUUGGAAACUACUCUUUGCUCGGUUGAAGGUGCUCACUUGUGUGUUCCGACGCGCCCAUCUCGGGCAAUCGAAGGAUCACUCCUUGGGGAAGUCUUUCAAGAACUUGGUCUGAAAUCGGGCAAGAAAACCCGCUGAACUUAA